rnacentral:rRNA from 1 species
GAUGAACGCUGGCGGCGUGCCUAAUACAUGCAAGUCGAGCGAACAGACGAGGAGCUUGCUCCUCUGACGUUAGCGGCGGACGGGUGAGUAACACGUGGAUAACCUACCUAUAAGACUGGGAUAACUUCGGGAAACCGGAGCUAAUACCGGAUAACAUGUUGAACCGCAUGGUUCAACAGUGAAAGACGGUCUUGCUGUCACUUAUAGAUGGAUGCGCGCCGCAUUAGCUAGUUGGUAAGGUAACGGCUUACCAAGGCAACGAUGCGUAGCCGACCUGAGAGGGUGAUCGGCCACACUGGAACUGAGACACGGUCCAGACUCCUACGGGAGGCAGCAGUAGGGAAUCUUCCGCAAUGGGCGAAAGCCUGACGGAGCAACGCCGCGUGAGUGAAGAAGGUCUUCGGAUCGUAAAACUCUGUUAUUAGGGAAGAACAAAUGUGUAAGUAACUAUGCACGUCUUGACGGUACCUAAUCAGAAAGCCACGGCUAACUACGUG